rnacentral:lncRNA from 1 species
GUAUAUAUGAAGUUUGUAUGUAUGUAUGUAUGCAUGCGUAGCGUGUGAUGUGUACAUAUGAGGCAUGUGUGUGUAAGUAUACAUACAUGUGGUUGGGUGUAAAUUUGUACAGCAUAAUUAUACAUGUUUUAUAAUUUUACUAAAUUAUGUAGUAGUAGGAAAUUAUUAUUUUAAUAACUAUUAAAUUGAAUUAUAACAACAUUUUUCACCGUGAAUAGUACCACUGUUCACGUGAAAGGUAAAUAAAAGAAAUUAUGAUUGUGAUUAUUUCAAAUGAAUGUUUAUAGAUAUGAUUAUGCAUGUUCACGUGAAAGGUAAAUAAAAUAAAAUCAAAAUUGAUUGUUUAUUUCAGAUGAUUAUUUCAAAUGAAUGUUUAUAUAUAUAUAUGAUAGUUUAUAUGAGAAUUGGAUUAAUUUAAAUUGUUAUGUGCAUUAAAUGUGUAUAUAGCUAACUUUAACUUUACAUGUUAUUUAUUAAUUAUUAAUAAUUUCCUUAAGAUAUAAUUUUAAGGAUGGGAUGUAAAGUUUUUAUUAAAAUUCUUAAAUAUGUAAGACUUUGAAAGUUUCUUGGCACGUAGCAUUCUCCAAUCAACUACCAUCUGACGGACCGAAGGUAUUGCAUAAUAUGUUUUAUUUAAAUUUUUAAUUUUGAGCAUGAGAUAUACAUCCUUAUAUUUAAUUUGAGAAAUGGUGGGAAUGAAAUGAAAUGUUGUAUACUAGUAUGAAUUGUAGCAUGACGUUAAAUAUAUUUGCUUCCAUUUAUGAAUUAUUUUCUCACAUACUUUUACCUUUUGAUAGAAGUAUAACAUUUUAUAUUAUCUUAGUAAUGAAUCAUGCAGGCAUUACGGGCAAUGUAUUAUCACCACUAAUAAAAUAUGAAGCAUAAUUGGACUUGGCUUGUAUGUGACAGUCAUGGCUAGAAUUAGAGAGACCACUAGAAAGAUAACGACUUGUAGAAUUGUUCUAAACCAUAGGACUGCAGUUAUCCAAGCCUACGAGAAUUAUGAGGCAAACUCAACUCACAUACUUAUUGAGCAUGUGGAGGAAGUCUUCGCUAGAUGGGCUGCGGCAAGGGGCUUAGUACAUGAGAUUACAUCCCUUCAAGUUGUUGACAAUUUUAUCCAUACAUUGUCCCCUCAAUGGGGAGACAUAGGCAUUGCGGUUAGGGAUAAAAUGCGAGAGGGUAACCCUCCAGAGCACCAGAAAAGGAUCGAGUUUGAUUUGUAAUGUGAAACUUUUCUAGAUAGGUGAAUUUCUACUCUCGAGUCCGAACCCGAGGAAGACCCUGAUGAAGACCUAGAACAGGAGCCAAAUUGUGAACCUAAUUUAGAGCCAGAGGACGAGCCAGAGCAUGUACCAAGACCAGAGCCAAAACUAGACUCUAAGAUUGAGUCAUGUAUAUAUUUGGAUGAUGAAGCCCCUUCGUCUAAGCUUCGUAGGAUUCGAAAUGUUUGGACAACCGAAGAUGAAAACUAUCAACCUAGAGAUAGUUUAGUUUAGAUAAAUAAUUUCUCCUCCUCCAAAAAAAAAAAAAAAAAAGUAAUCAGUACUUGAACUACAUUUUAGAAAAUAAAAGAUCCGAUAUUUAGUUACGUACCCGUACUCGAGUCCGAGGAUCAUAGAGCACAGCCUUCAAAUUGAAGAUGGAUCAUAUACUUGAACACCAAUACUCCACAUCUAUUUUAAGUCUUCUAUGAGUGAUUCUGGAUGCACAUCUAUAUCAUUUCCAUGUUGCUUUGGACCUAGAAUUAAUAAAGUUAAUAAUAAAUUUUCCUCAAGACGUGCAUAUCCAAGGAGGGAGAUUAUAUAUAACUAAUAUCACUGGCCAACAAUUAUACCUAGAACUAGGUCACCAAAGGUCGAAAAUCCAUUGGGAGAAGGCGAAUCCUAAGUUCUCAUGAGUUUGAUGCAAAACAAGGCCAUUUUUUGAUCAAUUCUCUCCCAAGCUAUUGAAUAAACUAAAUGACACAUUUUUCCAUCUUGACUUUUGUGAUUUGAGUGCCAUAUUAGUUGUUCUGCCUUAUCAAGUGACCUAAUCAUUCUUCUAAAUCAUGUCUCCAAAUUCUCUAGAUCCAUUCUAAACAAACAAUUAGUUACACAUGCAUGGAUGUUCUCAUACCCAAAAUCAAAGGUGUUCAAUAACCUUUUUGUUGAACUGCAAGAAUCGAGAAGGGCAUUCCCAUGUGAUAGCAUAUCUCGGAUAAUAUCAAGAAGUUCACUGAAAUCCUUGUCAAAUAUACCAUAUGUAACUUUAUGCUUAUAUAAGACAACAAUAGCAGAUAUCCUUUAUAUACUUCAUGCAACCAAGAUAUAAAGGAAUUUCAAUGCCCUCAUAUAAAUUUGAAAAAGUCUCUCUCUCUAUCUUCAUUCUUAGGUUCUAAAAUAUUGUCACCAUAAUAAAAUGUAUGUCUGUACAUCAUACAUGUAUCUAGAUUUUCUACAUCUUGAGAAAGCAAUGAUACUACAUUCGAUUUUUCCCCAUGAAACAACCAGGUAGUAGACGUAGAUCAAAUGCCCAUACAUUAUAUCAAGAUGUUGGUGGAAUAGGUUUUUGCAACAUUCCCUGCAUUGGCUUGCACCAUACUGAUAUGCCUCUGAAACUUUAUAAAAAAAAUGCUAAAUAUAUCAUUUAAAAAACAUUUAUGGACAUAUUUUAAGAUAGUCUAAAUUUAAAAGGACAAGAUAACAUUGAUAAGUGUACCCAAUCUUUAUACAUGAUAAUCUACCAACAUUAUUAAGAUAUAAACUAUUAUAACGCAGUAAAAAUCAAUUAUAUUAGGACAUCAUAGAAAUCAGAUUCCAAUUAGGUAAGUCAUUUUGACAAUAAAAGUUUCA